GUUCUUUGAGGAUCUGAUACGUGGACUAAGUGUGUGUUUGGUGUGGCAUGUUCCCAUUGGUGUUCUAAGCUUGAGCUGCAAUGAGUGGGCUCCCUUGGAUGUCUUUCAAAUCAAAGGCAAAAACUUAGUUAUCUAGGCAGAAACUCUGCAAACUAAGAGAAUCAUUUAGAAUCUUUCCCCUCAACUCAGCAUAGUUCAUAUACUCUUACUUUCUCUGGAUGAGUUCUUAGAGUAGAAAUAAUAAAGAAAUACGGGCUAUUCUUAGGACUGGUGACAUUAAUAACUAGCAUUUAUUAGCUACCCUGUGCCAACUAUUGUGGAAGGCUUUAUUUUAAUCUUGAAUCUGGCAAGAUAAGUUUUAGUUCCCUAACAUUAUAUUUGGGGAAACUGAGGCACAGAGCUAUUAUGUAAACUUUCUAAUAGUAUCAAGUAGAGUCAGGAUUAGAAUCCAAGUCUGUUAGAUUCUAAGUUAUUCCUUCACUGUUAAAUCAGUGGUGUCUCUAAUAUGCUUUCUUCUAACAUACCAUUAAAAUAACAAUUAAAUGGCUUAAAUGACAUUUAUUUAGCAGCUCCUCAUGUAUCUGUACUCAGCUUCUCAAGAAACUACUUAAGAAACAAAGAGAAAGAUGAAAACUCAUAACUCAAGGUGACAAUUUUUGUGAAGGUAUGAGUGCACAUGAGAGAAUCAAGAAGACAUUCACUCUCUCCAAGGUGAUCCAUAGGGAAGUGAAGCAAACAAGACAUGGUGUUGGGUACCCAAGGCCGGUAGGAUCCUCCAUGCACAGGAUGUAGCAAACAUUGCCCUGCGCCUGGUUGUAUGAACAAGACCUUUGAAGUUCUGUAAAAGCCCAACAUCUAGCUGAAAAUCCAUGCUGGGAUCCAUUCAGGUAAGGCAGUAUAGGGUAUGUGAAGAGCCCACUAUGCGCUC
rnacentral:lncRNA from 1 species